rnacentral:rRNA from 1 species
CGGACGGGUGAGUAACACGUGGAUAACCUACCUAUAAGACUGGGAUAACUUCGGGAAACCGGAGCUAAUACCGGAUAAUAUAUUGAACCGCAUGGUUCAAUAGUGAAAGACGGUUUUGCUGUCACUUAUAGAUGGAUCCGCGCCGCAUUAGCUAGUUGGUAAGGUAACGGCUUACCAAGGCAACGAUGCGUAGCCACCUGAGAGGGUGAUCGGCCACACUGGAACUGAGACACGGUCCAG